UUGAACGCUGGCGGCAUGCUUUACCCAUGCCAGUCGCACGGUAACAGGCCGCAAGGUGCUGACGAGUGGCGACCGGGUGAGUAAUGCAUCGGAACGUGCCCAGUCGUGGGGGAUAACUACUCGAAAGAGUAGCUAAUACCGCAUACGAUCUAUGGAUGAAAGCGGGGGACCGUAAGGCCUCGCGCGAUUGGAGCGGCCGAUGUCAGAUUAGGUAGUUGGUGGGGUAAAGGCUCACCAAGCCAACGAUCUGUAGCUGGUCUGAGAGGACGACCAGCCACACUGGGACUGAGACACGGCCCAGACUCCUACGGGAGGCAGCAGUGGGGAAUUUUGGACAAUGGGCGCAAGCCUGAUCCAGCAAUGCCGCGUGCAGGAAGAAGGCCUUCGGGUUGUAAACUGCUUUUGUACGGAACGAAACGGCUCUGGUUAAUACCCGGGGCUAAUGACGGUACCGUAAGAAUAAGCACCGGCUAACUACGUG
rnacentral:rRNA from 1 species